GACGUAGGGCGCGAGCGUUGUCCGGAUUUAUUGGGCGUAAAGAGCUCGUAGGCGGCUUGUUGCGUCGUCCGUGAAAACCUGUGGCUCAACUACAGGCUUGCGGUCGAUACGGGCGGCUGGAGUUCGGUAGGGGAGACUGGAAUUCCUGGUGUAGCGGUGGAAAUGCGCAGAUAUCAGGAGGAACACCGGUGGCGAAGGCGGCUGCUCGUCGGGCGAUACUGACGUGAGGAGCGA
rnacentral:rRNA from 1 species